rnacentral:lncRNA from 1 species
AAUUCAGAGUUAAAUAUAAGAUUGUGAUUUAACUUUUAAAAUUGAAAAAUUUGAAACAUUUUGUUUGGAAUUUUUAUAGCUGCAGGAAUUCCAAGAAAAGAACAAACACUUACAGCAGUGUAUUAAUGAAUUAGAAGAUUAUAUACAAAAGCAUAAAAUGAAAUGUGUUACAUUGGAAGAUUCAGUAAAAAAGCAAAUGGAUGAAAAAGAAAAAAAAAGGGAAAAUAAUUUCGAUUGUACUUUAACACAGAGAGAAGAAAAAGAUAAUUUUAAUGACGAAAUGGAGUAUCAACUUCAAGGACUGAAAACUGAACUCUGCAAAAUGAAAAUCCUAAAUGAAAAAUAUGUGGGAGCCCUAGAGAUACAAGAUAUGGAGUCAAGAUGGAGGAGAGGAGACAUGUCUUUAUCUGAGCUCCUGCGGGAGCCCCUCAGAACAACAACAGAUCAAACUGCUGCAGUGGCUUGGCAGGAAAUAAUCGAUGAGGAUUUUGGAUGAUAACAAAUGAAAAACAAAAGAAAUUUGACAAUACUUCUGAAAAGGUCCAGAGAGAGAUUCAACAGUAGAAUUGCCAGUUCCUCAUUUUCAAUGAGCUAGCCACCUACUUAAUUUUAAAACUUCCCAUUGAUGGGGUUAAAAUAGUUUUUUUGUUUUAAAGUUGUUUAAUAAGGAGUAAUUAAAUCAUCAUUUAUUAAUGUAUUAAUAAAUUCAUCAGCAGAGAAAUCUCUUAAAUUGGAUUGAAUAGGAACUUUCAGUGGCUCACAGUGUCUCAAGGAACUCAGGAUUAAGAUCAAUCCCUUGAUGGGUAGAGUUUAGGGAAGAGAUUCCCCACUUCAUUGUUCUGCCCUAACACCUUCAAAGAACAAUAGCUUGGAGUAGAGCCACCAGCCUUAGGGAGAGAGAUUUCCUACCACAAUAGUAGGCAGUCCAGGCAUGUGAUCAUUCUGGGAGCAAUCAUACCUUAUUCUGAUUGAAGAAGACUCAUUUUAGUUUUACAUAGAUGAGGAAAGGAAAAGACUAUUAUUUACUAUGGUGGUCAGUUAAUUGAAAAUCUGAGCUAAAUUUUCAGGAAGUUUAAAAUUUGCUUAAUGUUUCCUUAUUUAAAAAAUCUUUCUGUCCUUGUUGACCAGUUUUGGAAACUAGAUAUUAAGCACAGACAUUAAGAAUAGGAAGUCCUGGAGAUUUUGUCAAAAUAAAUCCCUAAAUACUGAAGCUAAGCUGUAGGAAAGAUAUUUAUGUAGGCAGGUCUCAGGAAACUAGGAAGAUGCCUCCUUUACUUUGAUAUUCAAAAGAGGUAAUAUCCAGUACCCUCCUUUGGGGAACUUCUUAGAAAGUAUAACUUAUUAUAAAUAUUAUAAAGUAUAAUAAGUUAAAGUCUGUACUUUAAGCAUAAAUGAAGAGUAAAAGAUUUUGGAAUUUCAAAAAGUAAAUUUCUAAGAGCAUCUUAAUGCCAAUGAAAUAGAAAAGAUUUAGGAAUCUCCUAUCUCCCUGAGAACACACAAGUGUGAAGUAUUUAACACAGUGCUUACCUUGUAUAAAGAAUGAGCACUUUACUAUUGAAACUUUAUGGGAAUCCACUUAAGGAAAAAUGCUAUUGCAUUUAUAGGUUUUUUCUUUUCUAAAUGGCAUGGAAUGUUAACAAAAUUGAAAUAUACAUACAUACACACACAUAAUAUGAAACAUUUUAAAUUAUUUCUAAAAACAGACUUAAGCAACUUUCAAGAUCUAUAAACUACUGUGAUUAGCAUGAAAAGUCAAGAGGAUAAUUAAAUGAUUUUCUAUGAUUUGAUGUUUGGUGAUGUUUUAGAUGCAAUAAAGCUAAGAAACUGUUGCAGCAAAUUCUUCCUCUUUUCAGUGUAAAUAGUGUUAUUUUCUUUCACAACAUGAAUUUUGUAGAAAUGUUUUCCAUAACUUCAUGUGUGGAUUCUUUAUAGGAGUUGGGGGAGUAGAUAAGGGAGACAACCUGGUACUCAAAAAUGUUAAAAACAAAGGCAAAAAAGUGUUUUAAAUGAAACUGGGGGAAAAUCUUUUUAAAUGUAUUUAAAAACAACUGAUUAAAAUUUCUAAGAAUAACUGAUAAGUAUUUCUCAGAGAAAAAAUAUCCUAACAGUCAUAUGAAACACAUUCCAAUUCUUUAGUUAUUUGAGAAAUGCAAAUUAAAAUAGCUCUGAGAUUGAUUGUCAAAAAGAAAAAAAAUGCUUGAAGGAAAACACUUGAAAAAACAGGUAUACACUGUUUAAUAAGUACACAGUAAUACACUGCUCAUGUUGUUGUGAGCUGCCCUAGCCAUUCUGGAUGGCACUUUGAGAAAUAUAUUUCAUUUUCUUGAAUCAUGUGUAUCUUUGACUUAGUGAUAAUUCUUAGAAGCCUACAUGUGAAGAGAUCAAAGAAAAGGAUCCAUACAUAUAAAACAUUUAGAAAUAUUUUUUGGAAGGUUGGGGCAAUGAAAUCUUGAAAUUUGGAUAAUAGCUGACAAACAACGGUAUGUAAAUAUAGCAGAAUACUUCUCUGCCAUAAGAAGUAAUAGAAGAUGUUCUCAGAGGAACUUGGGAAGAUUGGUAUGAACUUAUAUAAGGACAAAUAAUUUUAAUGCACUUAAUAUGAAGAAUUCAACAACCAGCCAUGAUUCCUGUGUAUAAGUAACAAUCUUGACAAGAUAAUUAAAGAUAGGUAGGUAAUUAAAGAUUAGAAAAAUAUGAACUUUAGAUUACUGAUUAAGAAUGAAGAGUUAUCUAUGGAAAUAACAUGGGGGCUUAACUCUAUAGCAGAGUUUAUAAGAAUUUUAGUUCCCUGGUUUUAAGGGUGACAAUCUGGUUCAUUCUCAUGAGGGAGUAAGUAAAACAAGUGGAAGGUGAAAUAGCCUGCUGAGAAAAUGUUUUCCCUAGCAUUGGCUGUCGUUUGCCAUGGGACUUUCCUAAGGAUAAUAUUCAACUCAGUUUUCCCCAUUGCUACAGAUUUUUGAGGAUCCCAGCAUCUAAGUUAUCAUGACUUAGCAAAAUGUAAACCGACCAUGCAAUUUUGCUUGAAAGAAAUGGCAUCUUAGUUUAAUUUGUUUCAUUGCAUCUUAUGUAAUCAGUUGUGUAACAAAGCUGCUUUGAAUGACAUGCAUCUUUACAAUGACAGAUUGAUCUCCUUUUAUUGGUUUUGCUAAUUGUAUAUGCUUUGCUUUAAAAAAAUCUAUAAAGCUCAUGAACCUCGACUUUUCUUUAUUGCAAAUCCAUUUUUACAACAAAAAGAAUACAUUUUUGGCCAUAGAUAAUAUGAUUUGUUUAAUUGGUUUACAAUUUGAUUCAUUGAUUUUGUUUUUCUUUCAAAUACGGGGAACUGCUGGAAGAGAAA